rnacentral:tRNA from 1 species
GGCGACGUAGCUCAGCAGGCAGAGCAUACGGCUCAUAUCCGUCAGGUCGAGGGUUCGACCCCCCCCGUCGCCA